rnacentral:rRNA from 1 species
UACGGAAGGCAGCAGUGGGGAAUAUUGCACAAUGGGCGCAAGCCUGAUGCAGCCAUGCCGCGUGUAUGAAAAAGGCCUUCGGGUUGUAAAGUACUUUCAGUCGUGAGGAAGGUGUUAAGGUUAAUAACCUUAGCAAUUGACGUUAGCGACAGAAGAAGCACCGGCUAACUCCGUGCCAGCAGCCGCGGUAAUACGGAGGGUGCGAGCGUUAAUCGGAAUUACUGGGCGUAAAGGGCACGCAGGCGGUUAAUUAAGUUGGAUGUGAAAUCCCCGGGCUUAACCUGGGAAUGGCAUUCAAGACUGGUUAGCUAGAGUCUUGUAGAGGGGGUUAGAAUUCCAUGUGUAGCGGUGAAAUGCGUAGAGAUGUGGAGGAAUACCGGUGGCGAAGGCGGCCCCUGGACAAAGACUGACGCUCAUGUGCGAAAGCUGGGGAGCAAAC